AUGACGGGGGUGGCGCUGGUUGGUUUGCAAUUGGCAGCAUCACCGAUCCUGAAGAAGCUCCUCGUGGAUGCUUCAACAUACCUUGGGGUUGACAUGGCGAGCGAGCUCCAUGAACUGGAGACCACCAUCAUGCCGCAGUUCGAGCUGAUGAUUGAAGCAGCUAACAAGGGCAAUCGCAGGGUCAAUUUGGACAAAUGGGUCCAGGAGCUCAAAGAAGCCUUCUACAAAGCCGAAGACCUGCUGGACAAGCAUGAGUACGACAUCCUCGAGCGCAAAGCAAAGAGUGGGAGAGAUUCCUCGCCACCCCGUGCCUCAUCAAUCAGCACUAUUUUGAAGCCUCUGCGUGCUGCUUCUAACAGGUUAUCUAAUCUCCUCCCAAAGAACAAGAAGCUACUUCACCAGCUGAAUGAACUGAAGGCCAUUCUGGUGAAAGGCAGGGAGUUGCGUGAACUUCUUUGCAUACCAGUCGGUAACAGUACAGAGAGCCCCAUCAUUGUUCCUCAGGCCACAUCAUUACCACCUUUGAAAGUAAUAGGUCGUGACAAGGAUCGUGAUGAUAUAAUAAACCUUCUUACCGAGCCGGCUGCUGUUGAGACCAAUUCAGCUGUAUAUGCGGGUUUGGCCAUCAUCGGAGCAGGAGGUAUGGGAAAAUCCACCUUGGCACAACAUGUUUACAAUGACAAGACGGUACAAGAACAUUUUGAUAUCAGGAUGUGGGUGUGCAUCUCACGCAAACUUGAUGUCCAUCGUCAUACACGGUAA
rnacentral:rRNA from 1 species